CAUAUCGAGGAUUGACAGACAGUUAUACAUGCCCUACAAGUAGGAGUCAGGUUUUAAACCUAAUGGCUCUUUCAUGAUUAUAUGAUAGGUGGUGCAUGGCCGUUCUUAGUUCGUGGAGUGAUCUGUCUGCUUAAUUGCGUUUCAAAAUUUAACUUGAGGACCGGGUUUUGGUUUGGCUAGUGGUUCUACGAUGACUGUGAACUGUCAUGUCUUCGGAUGUGCGACUAUUGGUCUAGGAUCACAUGACUUGCCCCUGGGACUCUUUUGAACGCAACGGACGUGAUUGCAACCCCUUGUUGAGAUUAGAGAUAGUCUCGAUAUUCACUGGACAAACUGGCUGCUUUAUGCAGUCUUGUUGAAUGGUGGAUAAACUCGGGGGACUGCUGACUAUAACCAUUUCUCAAAACAGAGGAAGGUUGCGGCAAUAACAGGUCUGUGAUGCCCUCAGAUGUCCCGGGCUGCACACGUGCUACAAUGAGUGGCGCAAUGUGCUAAUGUUUAAGGGAUAAGAGUGUGGUCAGUAGAACGUCGGGAUUUCCCCUGACGUCUCCCCCGCACGAUUAUCAGCCUUCCCUUAACA
rnacentral:rRNA from 1 species